rnacentral:rRNA from 1 species
UACGGAGGGUGCAAGCGUUAAUCGGAAUUACUGGGCGUAAAGCGCACGCAGGUGGCUGAGUCAGUCGAUUGUGAAAGCCCUGGGCUUAACCUGGGAAUUGCAGUCGAUACUACUCAGCUAGAGUAUGGGAGAGGGCAGUGGAAUUCCCGGUGUAGCGGUGAAAUGCGUAGAUAUCAGGAGGAACACCGGUGGCGAAGGCGGAUCUCUGGGCCUUACCUGACGCUGAGGCGCGAAAGCUAGGGGAGCGAACAGG